rnacentral:rRNA from 1 species
CCUACGGGUGGCAGCAGUGAGGAAUAUUGGUCAAUGGACGCAAGUCUGAACCAGCCAUGCAGCGUGCAGGAAGACGGCUCUAUGAGUUGUAAACUGCUUUUGUACGAGGGUAAACGCAGAUACGCGUAUCUGUCUGCAAGUAUCGUACGAAUAAGGAUCGGCUAACUCCGUGCCAGCAGCCGCGGUAAUACGGAGGAUCCAAGCGUUAUCCGGAUUUAUUGGGUUUAAAGGGUGCGUAGGCGGGCGGAUAAGUUAGAGGUGAAAGCCAGAGGCUCAACUGCAGAAUUGCAUCUGAUACGGUCCGUCUAGAGAACAGUUGCGGUAGGCGGAAUGUAUGGUGUAGCGGUGAAAUGCUUAGAGAUCAUACAGAACCCCGAUUGCGAAGGCAGCUUACCAAGCUACUUCUGACGUUGAGGCACGAAAGCGUGGGUAGCAAACAGGAUUAGAUACCCUAGUAGUC